rnacentral:rRNA from 1 species
AACGAAUGCUGGCGGCAGGCCUAACACAUGCAAGUCGAACGCCCUAGCAAUAGGGAGUGGCAGACGGGUGAGUAACGCGUGGGAACCUUCCCUAUAGUACGGAAUAUACCAGGGAAACUUGGAGCAAUACCGUAUACGCCCGAAAGGGGAAAGAUUUAUCGCUAUAGGAUGGGCCCGCGUAGGAUUAGCUAGUUGGUGAG